CUUCAACAGACUGCUACAGGUACUUUGGUGAGCUGGUGUGCCUCCAGAGUGUGCUGCUGAGGAGGGAAGCCCAGAUAAGAGAACCAGACCUCCAGAGAGCGUGCUGUGGUGGGAAGCCCAGGCUGAAAUCAGGACAUGCACAAUUUGGACUGAAUGGAUAAGAUCAUCUUAGUAGCUGCUUCGUUGUUCACCAGGGAUCCAGGUGCAUUACUGCAGCUUGGAAAUGCAGGAGCAAAGAACUUGGUGGCUUGAGUAUAGGUCAUUAAUACGUAUCUCUUAGUAGCCUCGGGCUGCCACCCAGUGGACAUCAUUGGAAAUUUCAGUUCAUUUUGGUUACUUUUGAAGUAUCAGUAGAAUUUAAAUGACUAUAGGUAGGGACCCACAAUAAAAAAAUAAUGUGGA